UCGCCUGUUUAUUCCAAAACAUUGCCUAUAGGUUUUUUUUUAUAGGUAGUUUCUGCCCGGUGGUUUUUAACGGCCGCGGUACUCUGACCGUGCAAAGGUAGCAUAAUCAUUUGCCCUUUUAUUGGGGGCUAGAAUGAAUGGGAUAACGAGCCCCCGACUGUCUCUUUUUUUGAAGUGAAACUUGCUGUUUUUGUGAAGAAGCGAGAAUGCGGGAGAAAGACAAGAAGACCCUACUAAGCUUAACCUAUUUUUUGUAUUUAUUUGUUUAGAAAAAUAGACAUAUAUGUUUAUAACAGGGGUUUAAUUGGGGUGAUUAAAAAAGAAAAAAUCUUUUUUUAAAUUAGAAACUUAUUUGUUAAAAAAAGAUCCAAAGAUUUUGAAAGAAAGAAAAAGUUACUAUAGGGAUAACAGCGUGAUCUUUUCUGAGAGUUCUUAUCGAAGAAAAGGAUUGCGACCUCGAUGUUGACUAUACUGUGUCCUUUGGGUGUAGGAGUUCGUAGGGUUAGUCUGUUCGACUAUUAAAACAGU
rnacentral:rRNA from 1 species